UACGAGAGGUGCAAGCGUUAUUCGGAAUUAUUGGGCGUAAAGGGCGCGUAGGCGGGUCAUUAAGUUUGUUGUUAAAUCCUCUGGCUUAACCAGAGACAAGCAAUAAAAACUGGUAACCUAGAGCGUGAGAGAGAGAAGUGGAAUUCCCGGGAGUAGCGGUAAAAUGCGUAGAUCUCGGGAGGAACACCAAUGGCGAAGGCUGCUUCUUGGCUCAUUGCUGACGCUGAGGCGCGAAAGCCAGGGGAGCAAACGGG
rnacentral:rRNA from 1 species